GACGAACGCUGGCGGCGUGCCUAAUACAUGCAAGUUGAGCGAUGAAGCUUGGUGCUUGCACCCAUUUGAAGAGCAGCGAACGGGUGAGUAACGCGUGGGGAAUCUGCCUUUGAGCGGGGGACAACAUUUGGAAACGAAUGCUAAUACCGCAUAACAACUUUAAACAUAAGUUUUAAGUUUGAAAGAUGCAAUUGCAUCACUCAAAGAUGAUCCCGCGUUGUAUUAGCUAGUUGGUGAGGUAAAGGCUCACCAAGGCGAUGAUACAUAGCCGACCUGAGAGGGGGAGCGGCAACAGUGGGACGGGGACACGGCCCAAACUCCUACGGGAGGCAGCAGGAGGGAAUCUUCGGAAAGGGACGAAAGGCGGACCGAGAAACGCCGCGGGAGGGAAGAAGGGUGUCGGAUCGGAAAACUCGGUUGGUAGAGAAGAACGUUGGUGAGAGUGGAAAGCUCAUAAAGUGACGGUAACUACCCAGAAAGGGACGGCUAACUACGUG
rnacentral:rRNA from 1 species